GCUCCAUUAGUGUAGUGGUUUAGCACCCCAGACUUUGAAUCUGGUGACCUGGGUUCGAAUCCCAGAUGGAGCU